rnacentral:pre_miRNA from 1 species
CAAGUACUCCCUCCGUCCAGAAUUACUUGUCAUCAAAAUGGAUGUGUCUAGAACUAAAAUACAUCUAGAUGCAUCCAUUUCAAUGACAAGUAUUUUCGGACGGAGGGAGUACAUG